rnacentral:rRNA from 1 species
AUUGAACGCUGGCGGCAGGCCUAACACAUGCAAGUCGAACGAGUGGCGGACGGGUGAGUAAUGUAUGGGAAACUGCCCGAUAGAGGGGGAUCACUACUGGAAACGGUAGCUAAUACCGCAUACCAUCGGAUGUGCCCAGAUGGGAUUAGCUAGUAGGUGGGGUAACGGCUCACCUAGGCGACGAUCCGUAGCUGGUCUGAGAGGAGGACCAGCCACACUGGAACUGAGACACGGUCCAGACUCCUACGGGAGGCAGCAGUGGGGAAUAUUGGACAAUGGGGGCAAGCCUGAUGCAGCCAUGCCGCGUGUAUGAAGAAGGCCUUCGGGUUGUAAAGUACUUUUAGCGGGGAGGCGUUACUCGCAGAAGAAGCACCGGCUAACUCCGUGCCAGCAGCCGCGGUAAUUC